AUCAGUACUGUCGGCAGUACUUGGCAGCUGCAGUGUGAAAGGAGUGGCGUGUGGUCUUUUCGUUUUUCGCUUUAAAUUAAAUAAUUUACAGUGUUUUAAAUGAGAUUUUUAAAGGUGCGAUGAAUACAUUAUACAUAUAAGUAGUCGCUAUUUAAAUGUUUUAUCGAUUUCAAAAGUUUUCACAUGUUUCACAGUCCGGUUUUUUUUUUUAAGUGUAAAAUGAUCUGUGCUUGUUACAAGUGACUGCAUUGUAAAAUAUAAUAGGCGCAACUGUAUGGUUUAAAUUCUUUAUUUUAUUGAUUUGUCAUAACGGACACCAUACGGUGAACAGUUUUUAUCAGACGAUUUUAAAUUUCGGAGCGGCGUUCAAGUUCAAUGAAUUUUUAAAAUAUUCGGGAGAACACCCUCCCCUUUGACCUAGAUAACAUCACAUAACCUUACCCCGUUGCAUGGUGUGUGGUCUCCAGGGGAUAGACGAUCUUUCAAUUGGGACAGUAGUGAAUAUUUUGCUUACAAUCCGUACUCGAAGUGCUGUGAAGAUUCAACCCAUCAAUCAUCACUUACGUCAAAGUCAGCUGGAAUUAGCGGAAACCCUGUUACAGCUGGUGAAUCCCGUGAUGCGGCCUGUUUUUCUGCGGGCAUCUUCAGUGGUGGUUUUAAAGACGCAAGAGGGCACGCGCCGACUCAGACGUCGUUAACUUCGGCUGUCGUUGAAGAUAACGGCCGCAAGGGCUGUCGCCGGCGGUGCCAUUUGGGACUGCGCGCGGCGGGAUCGCUCUCCGAAGAAUAACAACAAAAAAAUAAA